rnacentral:rRNA from 1 species
CCUACGGGGGGCAGCAGUAAGGAAUAUUGGUCAAUGGACGAAAGUCUGAACCAGCCAUGCCGCGUGAAGGAUGAAGGUCCUCUGGAUUGUAAACUUCUUUUAUAUGGGACGAAAAAAGGGAAUUCUUUCUCACUUGACGGUACCAUAGGAAUAAGCACCGGCUAACUCCGUGCCAGCAGCCGCGGUAAUACGGAGGGUGCAAGCGUUAUCCGGAUUCACUGGGUUUAAAGGGUGCAAGGGUGGGUGAGUAGAAAUCUCCGAGCUUAACUCGGAAACUGCCAUUGAUACUAUUUAUCUUGAAUAUUCUGGAGGUGAGCGGAAUAUGUCAUGUAGCGGUGAAAUGCUUAGAUAUGACAUAGAACACCAAUUGCGAAGGCAGCUCACUACGGAGUUAUUGACGCUGAGGCACGAAAGCGUGGGGAUCAAACAGGAUUAGAUACCCCGGUAGUC